UACGAAGGGUGCAAGCGUUACUCGGAAUUACUGGGCGUAAAGCGUGCGUAGGUGGUUUGUUAAGUCUGUUGUGAAAGCCCCGGGCUCAACCUGGGAAUGGCAAUGGAUACUGGCAAGCUAGAGUGCGGUAGAGGGUAGUGGAAUUCCCGGUGUAGCGGUGAAAUGCGUAGAGAUCGGGGAGGAACACCAGUGGCGAAGGCGGCUACCUGGACCAGCACUGACACUGAGGCACGAAAGCGUGGGGAGCAAACAGG
rnacentral:rRNA from 1 species